rnacentral:rRNA from 1 species
UUCGUAGAAGCGAGGGGUGCCUUUCGGGGAGCCGUAAGACAGGUGCUGCAUGGCUGUCGUCAGCUCGUGUCGUGAGAUUGUUGGGUUAAGUCCCGCAACGAGCGCAACCCCUAUCCUCAGUUGCCAUCAUUAAGUUGGGCACUCUGUGGAGACUGCCGGUGUUAAACCGGAGGAAGGUGGGAUGACGUCAAGUCCUCAUGGCCCUUAUGACCAGGGCUACACACGUGCUACAAUGGCCGGUACAAAGAGUUGCAAUACCGCGAGGUGGAGCUAAUCUCAUAAAGCCGGUCUCAGUUCGGAUUGGAGUCUGCAACUCGACUCCAUGAAGUUGGAAUCGCUAGUAAUCGCGGAUCAGCACGCCGCGGUGAAUACCGGUUCCCGGCCUU